CAGCAGCCGCGGUAAUACGAAGGGGGCUAGCGUUGUUCGGAUCUACUGGGCGUAAAGGGUGCGUAGGCGGAUUGUUAAGUCAGGGGUGAAAUCCCGAGGCUCAACCUCGGAACUGCCUUUGAUACUGGCGAUCUUGAGUCCGGGAGAGGUGAGUGGAACUGCGAGUGUAGAGGUGAAAUUCGUAGAUAUUCGCAAGAACACCGGUGGCGAAGGCGGCUCACUGGCCCGGAACUGACGCUGAGGCACGAAAGCGUGGGGAGCAAACAGGAUUAGAUACCCCUGUAGUCCCUGUCUCUUAUAC
rnacentral:rRNA from 1 species